rnacentral:rRNA from 1 species
CCUACGGGAGGCAGCAGUGAGGAAUAUUGGGCAAUGGACGAGAGUCUGAACCAGCCAAGUAGCGUGAAGGAUGACGGCCCUAUGGGUUGUAAACUUCUGUUAUAAAGGAAUAAAACGAGGCACGUGUGCCUUUUUGCAUGGACCUUAUGAAUAAGGAUCGGCUAACUCCGUGCCAGCAGCCGCGGUAAUACGGAGGGGCCGAGCGUUCUCCGGAGUUACUGGGUUUAAAGGGAGCGUAGCGGGGUUGUUAAGUCAGUUGUUAAAGUUUGCGGCUCAACCCUAAAAUUGCAGUUGAUACUGGCAGUCUUGAGUACCUUUGAGGUAAGCGGAAUUCCUGGUGUAGCGGUGACAUGCUUAGAUAUCACGCAGAACCCCGAUUGCUAAGGCAGCUUACUAGACUGUGACUGACAUUGAUGCUCGAAAGUGUGGGUAUCAAACAGGAUUAGAUACCCCUGUAGUC